AACUAGAGACCGGCGCACGGGUGCGUAACGCGUAUGCAAUCUACCUUUUACAGGGGAAUAGCCCAGAGAAAUUUGGAUUAAUGCCCCAUAGUAUUAUAGAAUGGCAUCAUUUUAUAAUUAAAGUCACAACGGUAAAAGAUGAGCAUGCGUCCCAUUAGCUAGUUGGUAAGGUAACGGCUUACCAAGGCAACGAUGGGUAGGGGUCCUGAGAGGGAGAUCCCCCACACUGGUACUGAGACACGGACCAGACUCCUACGGGAGGCAGCAGUGAGGAAUAUUGGACAAUGGGCGCAAGCCUGAUCCAGCCAUGCCGCGUGCAGGAUGAAGCAUCUAUGGUGUGUAAACUGCUUUUGUACGAGAAGAAACACUCCUACGUGUAGGAGCUUGACGGUAUCGUAAGAAUAAGGAUCGGCUAACUCCGUGCCAGCAGCCGCGGUAAUACGGAGGAUCCAAGCGUUAUCCGGAAUCAUUGGGUUUAAAGGGUCCGUAGGCGGUCUUAUAAGUCAGUGGUGAAAUCUCCCCGCUCAACGGGGAAACGGCCAUUGAUACUGUAGGACUUGAAUUAUUAGGAAGUAACUAGAAUAUGUAGUGUAGCGGUGAAAUGCUUAGAGAUUACAUGGAAUACCAAUUGCGAAGGCAGGUUACUACUAAUGGAUUGACGCUGAUGGACGAAAGCGUGGGUAGCGAACAGGAUUAGAUACCCUGGUAGUCCACGCCGUAAACGAUGGAUACUAGCUGUUGGGAGCAAUCUCAGUGGCUAAGCGAAAGUGAUAAGUAUCCCACCUGGGGAGUACGUUCGCAAGAAUGAAACUCAAGGAAUUGACGGGGGCCCGCACAAGCGGUGGAGCAUGUGGUUUAAUUCGAUGAUACGCGAGGAACCUUACCAAGGCUAAAUGUAGAUUGACCGGGUUUGUAAAAAGACUUUUCUGCAAGACAAUUACAAGUGCCU
rnacentral:rRNA from 1 species